UACCCGUGCGAAAUGAAAAUUCACUUUUUGCGAUAAUAGUCGAGUUUCUGUGAUAUCCUGGAAUAUCUCAGAAAAUCGCAAUAAAUCCAAAUGAAGAUAAAAAGGUGCGAGAUCACACUUGUGAAAUUCAAAGAUAUCUUUGAAUAUCGCAACGACGCAAAAGACAUGAAUAGCUCGUUUGCGAUGUUCUACGAUUUUCCAUGAUAUCGUAUUAGGCGAGUUCGUUCCGGCUUGAGAAAAGAACCUAGUGCAAAAGAAUUUGAUACGCAUGGGUCGACCUUUGGAUAUUCUGCGAUUUUUUUUCAACAUUUAAAAUUAAUUGUAUUAAAAUUAUCCGAAUUUGAAGCACUGUUAAGUUAUGCAUGACAUUUCUAAAACGCAUAGUUUUAAAGCGGCUUAUAAAACAAUAGAAAUAAAACAAAAACAGAAAAAGUAAUAAACAACAUUUGACAAAUUAAAUGAAUAAAACUCUUCUAAAAAUAUAAAUACAGUGGAACCCCGGACACCCUCGAGACUUUCAUAAGUCUCCGUAUCAUCGGGGUGUCCGUAUUAAGCGGGCUUUGUUUUGUUUUACUUCACAGUACGACUUCGUCUUCUGGAAGAGGCGACUGGAAAUAAGAAGUCACGUGACUUCUUAGUUCAAGUGUAAUUUUUCAAAAAGUAUAAUAAAUUGCACGAGCCCGUAGGGCGAAUUUGAGACUCUAUUUAAAGCACACGAGCGCAAUUACGAAUCGUAUGAUCACUUAUAAAUAACACACAAAUUAGUAAAGUCAAGUUUUUGUUUGAAACACAGUAAAACAGCGCGCUUUUUUCAAAAAACUGGUGUGAUUCGUCCGUGGAAUUGGACAUUGAAUCUCAAAAUGAUCAUAAUAUAUUUUUUGUUUGUUUUAAACGCGAUCCCCUGAUAGAAUAGAAUAGCCAUAGAAUUGCUCUGUCAUAUUUUUUUGCUAAUUAACACCCGAGUGUUUUUUGCCCAGUUAUAUUUUUGCUUAUUUUUAUCACCCGAUGAGUGUUUCUGUCCCGUCAAAUUUUGCCUUUUUUCGCUAAUUGUUCACUCGGUUAUUUCCUCCCUCUGAUUGAUGUUGCGCUAUAUCCUUCGAGGUUCACGUGGGUAAAGGUCAGUUAUUAAGAAACUCAUAAAUAAUCAUAUAGAACCAAAUUAAUUCCGGCCCGCUGUAGACUUAUAUCAACAUUGUGAAUCAAGCCCUUAAAUGAUACAAACUUUUGCAUUUUGCUUUUAUUGUUGUCAUUCUUCUGACAGGUAUUGAGAUUAGUUGAUCGAAGUGUUACCUGGAAUGCCGAGCCUACGACGCUCCCCGUGGAGAUCGAUGCUCAAAAAGCAUCGAUCUCCACAGGGGCCGGGGUCAAAAAUUCCGUUGUUAAGAGCGUGCGGCUUGUUAUGACACUAUCUUACGUUCUGUAAUCAACAUCACCCAAUCAGAAUCCGCUAUUUUGCAUACGUCAUUCACCCCUUGCUGGCUGCCUGGGAUGUCGCCGACUUGUACUGGUUCUCGUUGGAUUGUACCGGUUGCAUUUUCUUAGCGAAUCUCCGUGAUUUUAGGGAAUUUUAUCGAAUUUUAGUGAUAAAAUCAAAAUGAUCUCCAAGAAAUUUGUUGUUGUGGAGUGGCUGAACAACGCAGAGGAUCGUUGCGAGUUAACAGUUCUCAGGGGAAGUGAAGUUUUGCGCCAGGGUGGUUUGGUAUCGGUGGUAUUCAUUGCAUUGCAGCAGAUAACACACCAAGACUUUACGAGGCAGAAGUGUUGCAAAACUUCGACUCACAGCGCAAGGCAAGCAGUUUGAAAACGAGCUGCUUGAGGGAGGCAACGACAGCGUUGACCGAGGUUUACAAAGAUGUUCCUGCAGAGGAUCAGCCCAGUCCAGUGUCACAACAAAAGCAGAAAAUUAAAUAUCUGUCAAAGCCCCUGGAAGGGGUGAAGAGGCUCCUGUCAGACCUCUUUACCGAAGAAGAGCUCAUGCGGUGCACACUGAAGGGGAAGGGAAGGACCAGCAACAAGAUGCAGAUAAUUUAUGGUGCAAUGAGGGGAAAUUACGGAAUGACUGAUGAGAAAAUGGACCAGCUGAUUAGAAAUCAGCAAAAAUCCUUAAAAGACAAAACCAAAAAAGUCUUCAGUAAAGCUAAGUGAAAUGUCCAUUGUUGGUGUAAAAUGUCCGCUUAAGUAGGUUUUUUAAUCAUAGAGAUAUUUUAGCUUGCCUUGCACUUUUUGUUGUAUACCAACUUUUUGUCGAAUUUGGUUUUGUCUUUUAACGAUUUUUGCUGAUUUCUAUAACGUUAUAGAAGUCACUGUUCACGUUGUAUCCGAAAAUUAUAAAGUUGAUUAUCAAAUUUUGAGAUAAUUGUAAAUUUGUUCUGUAUUCUAAAAAUAAAAUUAUUUGCUGGAAAAUAUUGCUAGCUAUUUGUAAUAAAUUACCGGAUAUCCAA